GGGUCAAGAUAAAGGAGAAGAUUGACAAAUUUGUCAAAGAAAAGUUAUUGGACUUCUGUGAUGUUCUUAAUAUUCAAAUAAACAAGACCAAUGUGAAGAAGGAGGAGGGGUCUACAAAGUUGUUGGAAUAUUUGGAGUCCCCACAUGCUACAACUAAGAUUCUACUUGCUGAUAAAGAGCAGAAAGGUAAAAAGAGAACCAGAAAGUCAUUCCCUAGCAAAUCUCCUGGGAAAGCAUCUACAGAGACACCUACCAAG